CGCGGGUUAGUGUAAUUAUAGUCAACACAUUGGGCUCAUGUCCCAAAGAUAUUGGUGCAAGUCCGGUAUCCGCAU